CCUCGCGUGAGCUGGCGGGCCGGCAGCCUGCAGCCCAGGGCCAGGUCAACCUCCACGGAGCCGGCUGGCUUUGGCCGCGGGAGGAACAGUCCGAAGGACCCGUGGCAGCGCGGCGCUCUCGGCCUGCUGCAGCUGCGUUUCGAGGCGGAGCCCGCCCUUGGUGGGGUCCCCCCAAGCCGGCCUGCCCGGGGGCUCUGAGGACCUGGACCGUGUUGUAGAAAACUGUUAUAAUUCGGACUACACCGCGAAGGCGCGGUGCAGGAGACCUGGCCGAGGACGUUGUGCUGCGCUGGAAACGGCUUCGGAGAACUCAUCGCAAAUUACUGUGUCGAUCAUCCAACCUCUGAAGGGCUGCUCUGUGCCGGGCACUAAGGCAAGGGCACUGUUACAAACUGCAUCGUCAUUAGCACCCCAUAUGUAUGAACCACAUUUUAAUUUUGCAACAGUCUCUGAUAAGAUUGGAGAUCUACGGAGAAGUUACGUUGCUGCAUAGAAGUGGAAGCAGCAUUUCCAGAUCAUGUGGAUACACAACAUUUAAUGAAGCAAUUAAAGCAGCAUUUUACUAUG